CCGUGCAGCCGGGGAGAUAGCGGUGCCCUGUACCUGCAAUCCGCUCUAGCAGGGGUGAUGUCCUGUCCCGGACAUUUUACUGCAGAGCUGCCUUUCGUAAGCGGCGAUGACGUUUGGGUCUUGCGCAAUAGGAAUUCAUGAACCGUGUCAGGGCAGGAAUGCAGCAGCACUAAGUGAAACCUCCUAUGUGCCGCAAGGCAGCCUGGACUGAGCUGGCUGCGGGAGUAACGUCUGUGGUGGAUGUACAAAACAGGACGCACGG
rfam:Lachnoclostridium sp. An14 An14_contig_19, whole genome shotgun sequence.